rnacentral:misc_RNA from 1 species
GAUGAAGAACGCAGCGAAAUGCGAUAAGUAAUGUGAAUUGCAGAAUUCAGUGAAUCAUCGAAUCUUUGAACGCACAUUGCGCCCCCUGGUAUUCCGGUGGGCAUGCCUGUUCGAGCGUCAUUUCACCACUCAAGCCUCGCUUGGUAUUGGGCAACGCGGUCCGCCGCGUGCCUCAAAUCGACCGGCUGGGUCUUCUGUCCCCUAAGCGUUGUGGAAACUAUUCGCUAAAGGGUGUUCGGGAGGCUACGCCGUAAAACAACCCCAUUUCUAAGGUUGACCUCGGAUCAGGUAGGGAUACCCGCUGAACUUAAGCAUAUCAAUAAGCGGAGGA